GUUGUUCGUUCUUACAACGAUAAAGAUGGCGGCCAACACAGAAAAUAGUCGAGUUUUGAUACUCGGAGGGACAGGAUUCAUUGGCAGGAAUUUAGUUCACUAUUUGGUUUCUAAUAAUUUAGCAAGCAAGGUGAGAGUUGCAGAUAAGGUGCCCCCUCAGAUGGCUUGGAUGAACAAGAUUCAUAAAGAUGCCUUUGCUAGUCCAGUAGUAGAGUUUAAACAUUCCAAUCUUAUAAACCCAGCGUCGGUGUCAUCCGUGUUCACAGACGAGACGGGAAAUUACGAUUACGUGAUAAACCUUGCGGCUGAAACAAAAUAUGGACAAUCAGACAACGUUUAUAGGGAAGGUAUUGUGAGACUUGGUAUGAACUGUGCGGAGGAAGCAGCCAGAAGAAAUGUGAAAUUAUAUAUUGAGAUAUCGUCUGGUCAAAUGUAUUCCAGUGAUAAGAAACCUGCCAAUGAGGAUUUGAAACCUGAUCCAUGGACACAUGUAGCCAAGUAUAAGUUACAGGUGGAGAACCAAUUAAGUCAUGUGACAGGUCUGAAAUAUCGUGUAAUAAGACCUGGUAUAGUUUAUGGUGUCGGAGACAAGUGUGCACUUGGUCCAAGAAUUAUAAUUGGUGCAAUAUACAAGUAUAUCAGACAAAGAAUGAAGUGAAAAGGUUCCUUAACAAUGCAAGGGAGACAACCCUAUUUUGGAUUCUUUGACCAGGCGGCCACAAGGGUGAAUUAUACAUGCAUAUACAUGUUGGGUAAAGCCAAGUGGAGACAGUCUGAUGACCAGUGAACACUUACAGUCUUGGAUGAAAAUAGGAAAAGAAUGUCAUCCAAAAGGCAGCCUUUGUUGAAAUAAUUAUUAUGUUGGCACUGCUGGGUUUCUGAUGCCUUCAUACCUCCAGAUAAUUGGAUUCUUAAACGUAACAGCCAGAAAUGGAAAAUCCAAAGCAAGAAAUGGAAAAUCCAUGUUUUGAGGAAAGCAGAGCAACAAGAAAAUCCUGUACAAGAGCCUAUGAAACAAAACAGAAAAGUAAAAUUGUGACAGGCAUAUGCAACAAGAUGUACAGAUCUAUACAAACGUGAGUCCAGCAUGUGGCUGGUGUCAUGAUGCCAGCAAUACAGGUUUAGACAAGUGUGUUUGUGGGACGGCAUAUGGCCUUGUAUUCAAGGACAAUAGCACAUUGAAAUACCAAGCAGAUAGAUGGUGAUUUUAUGAAAUGUCCAUGGCAUAAAUUUGGUGGUUUGUGAACGGUAAGAUUGUUAAUUCGUGGAAUUCAAUUGCCAGGACCUCUUUUCUUGAUGGAAGGAUUUAAGAUGUACUGCCUGCCAGCAUCCGGGAAUCUUUAAAUGGAAAUUAGGAAACAGAGUGUUGAUGUCUGGAAUAUUCUACUGUUGAGAAGUUUAAGAUAUAUUACUUUUAUAAAAAAAGACUUACCUAUACAGAUCAAUUGAGAGACACAAACUUCUGGGAGGACAAUGAAUUGACAUUUGUUUUUCUCAACAUGAAAACGGAAUGAGACAUUCUAGUGGACUAAUUGAUGACACUUACACUGUAGGGAUUCAAAAAUCUACAACAAUGAGAAAUUCAUCAAUAGAAGUUCAGUGAUAAACUCCAGUAGCAGGUGUUCAAGGAAUUCAGAAUCAGUUAUAUCAUAGUGUUCUAACUCCAGUGAUAAACUCCAGUAGAAGGUGUUCAAGGAAUUCAGAAUCAAUAAUAUCAAAGUGUUAUAACUCCAGUAAUUAACAACAGUAGCAGGUGUGCCAAAAUUACAACUCAACUGAUAGAAAUGAGUAGCAGAAAAUUAUAAGUCUGUACCAUGAAAGUUUUGUGAGGGAAUAUACAUGUUUAUAAUUUAUCUGAUGAGCUGAAGUCUGACUCUACAAGAUAAUUUCUGAUUCCAUUCCACUGUAUUGACACUAGUGUUAUAUUGAUAUAUCAUAUUACAUUUGUAAAUUAUUUGGAAAGAUAUGUCUUAAAGAUCUUUCAUAUACCUCUGUAUUUCAAACCACUUGCGCCUCCCCGCUGUGGGUUCGAAUCCCGACAGGGACUUUGGAUUCUUUCAUGUGAGGAAGCUAGCUUACAGAACGUCGGUGGUUCUACUCAAGUGCCCGUUCGUGCCUGAAAUAAUGCACGGAAGGGCACCUGAGGUCUUCCUCCAUCAGUAAAGCUGGAAUGUCUCGAUAUGACCUAUAAUGUGUAGAUGUGACAUAAAACCCAAAACAAACAAACAAAAAUACCUCUGUACAACUAAGUUAUGCAGCUGGUAUACAAGUUUGAGGUUGUGAGUCAUUGUGGUUGUCUGGCCAUUUAUAUGUACUUCUGUUUUAAUGCUCAACCAAUUGUAAAAUAACUGGACAAGAAUAAUUGUCACAAUAUCUAUUUGCCCAAUAUUUACAUGCAGUACAACAGGCAAAGUAGUACUCUUACUCCUGAUUAAAUUUUCUCAAUAAUAACUUUGGAAAUUUUCUGUCAUAAAAAUAUAAAGCUGUAAGAAAUACAAAUAUCUAUGCCAUUUGUUAAAUUUUCAAAGUCAAGUCAAAUGUUUUAUUAGCAAAAACAUAUACAUGUACAUGUUCAUUGCCAAGUUACAUUUUAGCGGUUAUUAUUAUACAUACACAUAAUUAUGUUUCAGUGUAAAAUAAUUCAAACAAAUGUAUUAAAGGGACUCCACUGACGUAUUUUUGACAUGACAAUACUAAAAAUUAUUUUUUGAGAUUAAUGUUCCAUUUGAUGUAGGUCUCGACCAGUAAUAUGUGUGAAAAAAUUCAGAUUAUUAGCUCACUCCGUUUUUCCAGAAUAAUUCUUCUUCUUAUGAAAAUGACCAAAAAUUGAAAAGUGUUGCAACAUUUUAUUACUUAUAUCAGGUUGAAAAUAGUAUAAAGAUACAAUUUUGAAUUUAUUUUAGGGUAUUUCUUAAUUAUCUUUUGCAUAUCUUUCUGUUUUAAGUGCCACAGCUGAUCCAUCAACAACAUUCAAAUUUUUAUGUUCCUAGGAUUUUUGACCUGAGUGGAGUUCCUUUAACGUAGAUUCAAUUCAUAGUUGCAUCGCUUAUUAAACAAAUUUUGCUAAGUUUAUAUUUACACAUAUUUCAUUUUGUACAUUUUGGUUUUCUUUCAAUAUUUCUAUGUCUAUCCUCUUCAAUAACUAAUUUAGGUGAAGAGCACCUAAACUACAAUGCUUAAAAUUAUUAACACAACUUUAAUAUUUCUCUUGGGUAAAUUCUAUUUAAACAAAUUAUAACUUUCUAAUUUUGAAAAAGUAAUAAGUUAGCACACCAUUGUUGUAGUUGCUGAUCAAAAAUAUUUUGUAUUUUGGUAUUUACAGGCACAGUGGUAAUAUUACCAUUAUUCUAUACAUGUAUAAUUACUUAAAUCUGACGACAUAUUUUUAACAUAUUUUGACCAGCUAUUUAAUAAAUUACCAUUUGCAUCAUUAAAAAGCACCGGUUUGUAUAAAAGAGAGUUUGGGGAUUUCAUAAUUCUGUACAAGUACUAAAUAAUUCUGACUUUUUCCAGAACUAAUAAAGGAUUUAGUAUACAUUUAUUUUGAAAUACCCAUUGAGUAAAGACCAAUCAAUUCUUUUUGUAAACACAGCAGGUGAAGUAUAAAUGUGUCAAUUUGAAUUUUAGGAAGUCAUUCCAACAUUUAUAAAUAACAGGUGUUGCAGACUGAUUAAUUACAUCACAAACAAAUUUGUUGUGACUUUUAAUUGUUCACAAGCAUUUGCUAAACUUUUCUGCUUUUUUCUGCUUAAAGGCCCAGAAAUUAUGCCCAGAAAUGUUUUUAGUUUUAUUUCUCAAAAGCUUCUUAUUUUUGGUGUGUUUGUAUUGUUUUAAAAAAAAGUUACUUAUUGUCAAUUACCUUAACCAUGAUCUUUUUCUUCUGUUGUUAUUUCAUUAAUUGGUACAGUAUAGUGAUUUAGUAUUUUGUAUGGGAGUCAAACUAUUACUUUGUUUACAUUUCGACAACUAUUAUGACAAAUAAUUUCACAUGUUAAUUUUAAGCGAUACUUUUUUCUGGUCACAAGCAUCUGAUAUAAAACAAUGAUUUAAACAUAAUUGAGCCGUGUCACGACAAA